CACAAAGAUUUGGUCCUAGUCUUACUGUCAGCCCCAGCCCAACUUACACAUGCAAGCAUCCGCGCCCCCGUGAGAAUGCCCCCCCGUUUUCCUCGCGAGAAUAAGGAGCUGGUAUCAGGCACAGCCCAUAAUGCUAGCCCAUGACACCUUGCUCAGCCACACCCCCACGGGUCGUCAGCAGUGGUAAACAUUAAGCCAUAAGUGAAAACUUGACUUAGUUCGAGCUAACUGAGCCGGUUAAUCUCGUGCCAGCCGCCGCGGUUACACGACUGGCUCUAGUUGACAGAUAACGGCGUAAAGAGUGGUUAAGGAACAUUAGCACUAAAGUCGAAAACUCUCACUCCUGUUAUACGCUAGCGAGAGCAUGAAGCCCCACUACAAAAGUGACUUUAAAAAACCCGAACCCACGAAAGCUAUGGCACAAACUGGGAUUAGAGACCCCACUAUGCUUAGCCAUCAACAUUGAUAGUUUCUCACAUACACUAUCCGCCAGGGUACUACGAGCGCUAGCUUAAAACCCAAAGGACUUGACGGUGCUUUAGACCCCCCUAGAGGAGCCUGUUCUAGAACCGAUAACCCACGUUUAACCUUACCUCUUCUUGUUAAUACCGCCUAUAUAUUACCGUCGUCAGCUUACCCUUUAAAGGCAAGACAGUAAGCAGAAUUGGCAUUGACCCCAAAACGCCAGGUCGAAAUGUAGUGUAUGAAGAGGGAAGAAAUGGGCUACAUUCCAUAAAACAGUGAAUACGAAUGGCAAACUGAAAUACCAGCCUGAAGGAGGAUUUAGCAGUAAGAAGAGAAUAGAAUGCUCUUCUGAAACAGGCCCUGAAGCGCGUACACACCGCCCGUCACUCUCCCCGUAAAUCUUAUAACUUUACUUAAAUCCACUUACUCGUUAAGGGGAGGCAAGUC
rnacentral:ncRNA from 1 species